AUUGAACGCUGGCGGCAGGCCUAACACAUGCAAGUCGGACGGUAGCACAGAGGAGCUUGCUCCUCGGGUGACGAGUGGCGGACGGGUGAGUAAUGUCUGGGGAUCUGCCCGAUAGAGGGGGAUAACCACUGGAAACGGUGGCUAAUACCGCAUAACGUCGCAAGACCAAAGAGGGGGACCUUCGGGCCUCUCACUAUCGGAUGAACCCAGAUGGAAUUAGCUAGUAGGCGGGGUAAUGGCCCACCUAGGCGACGAUCCCUAGCUAGUCUGAGAGGAUGACCAGCCACACUGGAACUGAGACACGGUCCAGACUCCUACGGGAGGCAGCAGUGGGGAAUAUUGCACAAUGGGCGCAAGCCUGAUGCAGCCAUGCCGCGUGUAUGAAGAAGGCCUUCGGGUUGUAAAGUACUUUCAGCGGGGAGGAAGGCGACGCGGUUAAUAACCGCGUCGAUUGACGUUACCCGCAGAAGAAGCACCGGCUAACUCCGUGCCAGCCGCCGCAGUAA
rnacentral:rRNA from 1 species